rnacentral:rRNA from 1 species
CCUACGGGCGGCAGCAGUGAGGAAUAUUGGUCAAUGGCCGCAGGGCUGAACCAGCCAAGUCGCGUGAGGGAUGACGGUCCUAUGGAUUGUAAACCUCUUUUGUCAGGGAGCAAAGGGCGCCACGUGUGGCGCUUUGCGAGUACCUGAAGAAAAAGCAUCGGCUAACUCCGGGCCAGCAGCCGCUGUAAUACGGAGGAUGCGAGCGUUAUCCGGAUUUAUUGGGUUUAAAGGGUGCGCAGGCGGAAUGUCAAGUCAGCGGUAAAAUUUCGGGGCUCAACCCCGUCGUGCCGUUGAAACUGGCGUUCUUGAGUGAGCGAGAAGUAUGCGGAAUGCGUGGUGUAGCGGUGAAAUGCAUAGAUAUCACGCAGAACUCCGAUUGCGAAGGAAGCAUACCGGCGCUCAACUGACGCUCAUGCACGAAAGCGUGGGUAUCGAACAGGAUUAGAUACCCGGGUAGUC